GCACGGCCGGGGUCCCGACUGGCGCGCUGCUCCACGCGCCUGCCCCGCCGCCAACUUUGCCAAACCUGCGGGUGGCCGCCGUCCAGCGCCCCCGGGCCGCGGGGAGAGCGGGCGCGGCCCCGGGGCGGCGUGGAGAAGGGCGGGGCGAGAGCGCCGGACGCCUGCCCCCCGGGACGGGCACUGGACGAAGCGGGAGGAGAAAGGCAAGACUAGCCGCUCGGGUGAGGACGAGAGGAUAGAGGGCGAGACGCUUGUUCUUCUGGAUCGAUAUUAUUUCUUCCAUAAAUUGAUCCAGACUAGCCAUAGGAACCAGUCAAGAUAUUUUGCCACAAGAUCUAGGACAAGAGGAUUUACCUUCUAUUGCCCACCUUGCAAAUCUCCUAGGGACCUUUCACCUGCUUCUGCUACUGCAAGUGAUUGGACAUCCAUUUACAUUUCCUCUUCUUCAUGUGUGGAAGGAAACUUUGUUCACUGUGCUUCAGGCUGCCCCUGGCCUGAAAGUGGGUCCUUGAAUUCCCCUUGUACCAUUCCAACUUGCUAAGGUGGUUAUGAGACCUGAGGGAGGUGUUUAGGCGUGGACUUUGGGCCAGGUGUGUAAAUCCAUUUGGUACCAACUUUGGGCCCCAAGGAUAAGGGCAUGUGUAGCUGCACCAGAAGAGAAGGGAACAGUGAAAACUAAAAUUUCACCCUCUGUGAUGAUCUUCACCACCACCGGUACCAACAAUGCUUUUCUGAAAGAAGGACCGAAGUAACACCAAGAACUCCCAGAUGAAGAGGACCUUCCUGGAUCUGUAACUGGGAUUAACCAGUUCUUUACUGGGAGAGAAAGUUUCAACUAAUCCUCAGGAUAAAAGCAAACAGGCCUGUGACUGUCCCUUGAACACUGACAGUGUAAACAAGCUUCUGGCUCCUCCAGGUCAAGCAGAGGAACACUUUUCAUUAGAAUGUUGGGUUUCUUCUUUGUUAUUCAAACAUACACCCACACACACAUCCCCUUGUCCCUCCCUAAUGAACAAACCUCAACAGAUGGAGAGCCUAGGCUCCCAAGACUUAUGGCUGAGAAGAUGCACUUCACUCAAGGGUGGGUUGGCUUGUACAGAAUGGGGGAGAGAGAAGAAAUGGGAAGCUAGUAUAGGUAAUUACUGUCUUUUAAUACUCCUUACAGAUAGAAAUCCAAAAAAUCCUGUUCCGCAAGGUUAGCAGCCUCUGGGGCCUGGGAAACCGAUUUGGCUGAUGUGUCUGUGAUAGGGACUAGGCUUGGGGCUGCACCAGGGGGAAAGUACUCACUCUAUAUUCUAUCAUUCUCUCUCAUUUGAAAGCCUGUACAAAGAAAUGGUACAAAUGGAUGGUUAACUUAAUGAUUCCAUCAGAGGCGGAUUUUUCUCUGUCAGGACCCGGGAUGAGGCUGAGGUCUGAAAGCCAGGAGGCAGAACAUUUACUUAAUCGCCCUUUCUUACCGCCUUUCCAGGGGCCCGGACUGCUCUUCAGACCUUUCCUCUGCCACGUCCCCGUACCCCUGGCUAGCUCAGUUGGGUCUUCUUACCCCACUCCUGGCUGGGCCUGAGUGUCUCCUGGUAGCCACGGCAAGGUCUCCUUAUGGCUAAAUCUUUUCCCACUCCCACCUCCCAUUCUACUGCGGGCCAUUUUUGCAGCCUCCUCUCUACCCAGCUUUAAUUAACAUUUGAUUGCCUGGACAGAACAACCAGGGGCUCCCAAACCGCUGCCACCCCCAUCCAUGGACCCUUUCUUCAGGCCUCAGGAUGAGCCCCCACAACCUCGCUGAUCCCUCCCCUCCCCCAGCCCUCCCCGCCGCCUCUGUAGGAAAAAAAAAAAAAAAAAAAGCCGAGCUGGUCAAGGCCUGAGCCAGAGAGCCACUUCCUCCUCUGGAGCAGCAAACGGGGUAAACCUCCCAGAGACCAAUGCCCAAAGCGAGGCCCGGCCCUUCCCCACCUCCAGGCGUAGGCCCAACAGUGCCAUUGUGAGGCCUUUCCCGACGCGGAGCCCUUGGGGAAGCUGCGCACACAAAGGCGCAGCCACUCCUGGAAGCCCGGCUUGCUCGGCGCCCUCAACCUAGCGCCGGACAGUCGAGGCCUUGUGCGCUCCCCCAUUGUACCCCACGCGGCCGUCUCGGGCAAAAGUCACGGGCUGGGGUGGAGGUUUCCUUCUCCUGCCAGCUUGCCCCUUCCCGCUCCAGGUCACACACUCCCCCCACUUCCCCGGGAAGGAGAGGCCUGGGCCCAGAGCGCCAUUGCCCAGCCGGUGCUCCCCUCCCCCACGCUCUUCUUUCUGCUUUCCCGAGACCCGGGAGGGAGGAGGCGGGCGCCUCCGCCGAUAGAGCAGCUAUUGUGACCUUCCCUCGCCGAGCGGGAACCCAACCGAGUGUACCGCUGGCGGGGGAGGAGGCGACUGUAUGCGCAGACCUCGGGGUGCAGAGGGGGGUGGUACUGGGAAAUAAAUAAAGGUUUGCAACCUUGGGCAUUUGGGCCCUUCAGAGGGCGUUCGGUUGUGUUUAGACUCCGGUGCUUCCUAACACUAAUUGCGGGCUCAAAAGGAGCAGAAUUUAUGGCGAAGGCCAAGGCGGCUUGUUUAUAAUUUAUGAAGUUUUAAAUGGCUGUGCUGCAGGCCCUCCUCUCGCCCUGGCCGGCGGCCGCGCGGGAAGCGCCUCCCCAGACUCGCCACCGCGCCCUCCUCCCUGCGCCAGGAGCAGGAGCGGCGGAGUGUGCCCAUCACAUGACACGCCGAGGGCAGGAAAGAAUCCAAGCCAUUCUAGGAAGCCUCGGGGAAACCUGUCACCAAAGGUGAGAGAAAGUCAAUUUGUCCCAAGCGAACUCCCCCACCCCGUUAGAGAGGGGUGCCUCCGGGUAACUGCCCGGAGAGGGAGCCCCCGACCCCGCACCUCUCUGGAGCAUCAGUGUGAGAGGAAGCUGAUGUCAGCCGGCCUAGACACCGCUUAAAGUCUAAUCCAUGAGACCUAAGCCGCAGAUGACACUUGGGGCCUUGCAGACACCCGCAGACUCAGCAGAUACUCCUGCGGUAACACACCGCGCUGGAAAACGCCUGGAGCCAUAAUGCAUUAUGUAUUUUUAUUAUUAUUUAUGGUAGGAAGAGGAGAUGAGGGAAAACCGGGCUGAAUCUAAACAGCCUGAUAAUUCAUCUAUUUAAUAUUUAGCCAGUUAAGAAAGGUUGUUGUAAUCCCUGCAAGGCAGCAAGCUCUUCUUUGACUUCCCUAAUAGCUUAAAAAAUAAUUUCUUACAAGACAAUUAGAAAUUCUGCCUAUGGAUGCAAAUUUCAUAGAAAACAAUUUUAAACCUUGCAAAUGGGUAAACUAUCCCUUCAGUUGAAGUCAUUUAUUCUGUUGAUACACUUGUACAACAUGUAUACUCUAAACCUCAGAUAAAGUGAAAUUCUGCAAAAGGAUAAUCCCUACCACCCCCGGUCUAACAUGCCAUUUUAAAAACAAAGGAACAAGGGAACUAGAUAUUAUUUGAGCUAUCAUUAUUUAGCGAAACACAAACAUCCAAAUAGAAACGAUUGUUGUUUCCACCAGAAGAUUAGAAGUUAAAUUAUUUCCACACAAUGGGAAUUUCACCUCGUGUCACGGGGGGGAUGUAGUAGGAGCUGUAUUAUUUGUCAAACCGAAUAGAGAUGCGUGGGCUGACUUUGCUGAAAUACAAAAGACUUGAACCUUAUCUGAAGGCGCUUUCCAAGUGUCUCCUCCUAGAGAAGCGGGUGGACAUUGUCCACCCCUAGCCGAAGCCAGGCUAAUAUUUACAAAGUGGAUAUAAAUCCUUGAAGACAUUUUUGCCCGUGUUGUACAAAGAAACCGGAAUAAACAAGGUGUUUAU